UAAUACGUAGGGACCAAGCGUUGUUCGGAUUUACUGGGCGUAAAGGGCGCGUAGGCGGCUUGUCAAGUCACUUGUGAAAUCUCUGGGCUUAACCCAGAACGGCCAAGUGAAACUGACAUGCUAGAGUGUGGAAGGGGCAAUCGGAAUUCUUGGUGUAGCGGUGAAAUGCGUAGAUAUCAAGAGGAACACCUGAGGUGAAGACGGGUUGCUGGGCCAACACUGACGCUGAGGCGCGAAAGCCAGGGGAGCAAACGGGAUUAGAUACCCCGGUAGUCCUGGCCCUAAACGAUGAAUACUUGGUGUCUGGAGUCAUUAAUGCUCCGGGUGCCGUCGCUAACGUUUUUAGUAUUCCGCCUGGGGAGUACGCUCGCAAGAGUG
rnacentral:rRNA from 1 species